GGGGGCUGCAUAUAGCUCAGUGGUAGAGCGAGUGCUUAGGAUGCACGAGGUCCUGGGUUCAACCCCCAGCACCCCCU